rnacentral:lncRNA from 1 species
CUAGUGCCAAAAAAAGUGCAACAAACACAUUUCAGUAUGUGAAAGAUCUUAUCUGUAAUUAAGAUCUGAACGUAAGCACAGGGCGGAGGAAAUAAUUUUGGUUGUGUCCUUUUCAGUAAGUUGCUAUACCUCCAGAUAUUUAUAGCUCAGUAGAAUAAUGAAUAUUAACACUUGUCAUCUCACAUCCAAAGUGUCAUGUUAAAAAGGGGGAUUUGAACUCUAGAGAUUAAUGCAGUGAAAAUUAUGACAACAUUAGGCUCAGUGAAAGAAAAGCUUUGAGUUAACCAUAAAAGGCUCAAAAUGGGUCCAAACUCACGGAAAGUGUCUUUCUUUUUUCAACCAGGCCAUCACAGUCGUUCUGUGCUGCGAGCCUUUGUGUCCACAUCUCAGAACUGGAUAAGGCUUCCUCCAGGAUUCCUCUGCAGACGCACCAUUGUGAGUCCAGAUUGUGCCCAGCUGCUGCAUGGGUACACAAAGAGCUGAGAAAGCUGCAGGGAGCCUCUUCGUUGUGUGUUCCUGGACAGCAGCCAACCUCCCAUCAAAGGUUGCCCAUUUCUUGAGAAAGCACAGAGCUUGCUCCAUCCCCCAGCAAUGCCUCAAGCCAAAGGUGUCCAAAUGGAGACAGAAAGGGUAUUUCCAGUGCCCCGGUUUGCGGGACAGAGUGUACAAGGUGGGGAGCGAAAUCUGCACUGCUAGAGAAGCUCUCUUAGCUCAACAUUUUUGAGGGAGCGAAAUGUCUCCAGACAGAACUUUAUUCUUUGUCGAGAUGUGUUGAUAGUAUUUGUCAGUACUCACUAACCUGGGACUGGAGAGUGAUAGAACAUUGAAAUGUGGGAUUUCAGAAAGAGGAAAGAAAACAUGUUACUAAUAAUGCCUUUGAGGCGUAUUUCCUCAGUAUAAAAAUAUAAAAUAAAAAUACUUCACUGGCAAAAAAAAGAGGCUAA